rnacentral:rRNA from 1 species
UACGUAGGGGCCGAGCGUUGUCCGGAGUUAUUGGGCGUAAAGCGUGCGCAGGCGGUUUUGUAAGCCAGAUGUGAAAGCCCCGGGCUUAACCUGGGAAUGGCAUUUGGGACUGCAAGGCUUGAGUGCGGCAGAGGAGACUGGAAUUCCUGGUGUAGCAGUGAAAUGCGUAGAUAUCAGGAGGAAUACCGAUGGCGAAGGCAGGUCUCUGGGCUGACACUGACGCUCAUG